rnacentral:rRNA from 1 species
UACUGUCUCCUCACUCCAAUCAGUGAAACUGAUCUUCCCGUGAAGAAGCGGGAAUAAAUAUAUAAGACGAGAAGACCCCAUGGAGCUUUAAACCCAACAGCAUCUAUUAUUUUAUGUCCUCAUAAACGCUUAGUUAAUGCUUGUUUGGUUUUGGGUUGGGGUGACCAUGGAGUAAAAAAUAUCCUCCACGAAGAAAGGGAUAAUGGCCCUUAUUAAAGAAUUACACUUCGAUAAAUUAGUAUACUAAUUUCCAAUGAUCCGAUAUUCGAUCAACGAACCAAGUUACCCUGGGGAUAACAGCGCAAUCCGCCUUAAGAGCUCUUAUCGACAGGCGGG